rnacentral:rRNA from 1 species
UAAAAAAUUUAUUAUAUUUUCUUUCUUAAAAAUUGAAAAAGAUUUUAUAUUAAAUUUAAUUAGUAUAUCGUACUUUUUGCAUAACGGUUUUUCCAAAAUAAUAGAUAUUAAUUCCCGAAAUAAAAAGAUCUAUAUUAUUUUUUAUUUUAGUAAAUAUACUUAAUGUUGAAUAAUUAAAAUUAUAGUGUAAUAUAGUGAUGAAAUGUUUUCAAUUUUUAUGAUAUCUGGAUACUUAGAAAAGUGUUUAGCACUAAAAUUAAUUUAAUAAUGAUUAAGUUAUUAUAAAUGAGUAAAUUUUAUUAGUUAAUUUUAGUAAUAAUAUUAUUUAAAAUAUAAAAAUUUAACAUUAAUUAAAAUUAGUUCUCUUAAUUAUAAGUUUUAAAAUUUUAUUAGUUUAUGAAAAAAUUAGUUAUUAUAUAAAAUUUUUAUUAGGAAUUCGGCAAAAAUUAACUUCAACUUUUUAUCAAAAACAUAGCUUAAAGAAAUAAAUUUUAAGUUAAACCUGCCCUGUGAAUUUUUUAACGGCUGCGGUACCUUGACCGUACUAAGGUAGCAUAAUCAAUUGGCUUUUAAAUGGAGUCUGGAAUGAAUGGGAAAUUGGAGUUUAACUUUCUUAAAUAAAUUUUAUUGAAUUUACUAUAAAAGUGAAAAAGCUUUUUUUUGAAAAAAGACGAGAAGACCCUUGGAGUUUAAUUAAUAUUUUGUUGGGGCGACAUUGAAAAUAAAACUUUUAUAAUUUUUAAUUACAACUUUUAGUUUUAAUUUAUAAACUACCCAAGGGAUAACAGCAUAAUUCUUUAAUGAGAUUGUGACCUCGAUGUUGGACUAGGAAAAAUAAUAACUAGUAGUUAUUAUUUAAUGUUCUGUUCGAACUUUAUUCUCCU